GGCAGGGAGAGGGGAUCAAAUGUGAGGGCAAACUGGAAGCCCAACUGAGAAGCAAGUAAGACAUUAUCACCAAGGCAGAAACUAAACAGCACUAAGAUGGUUUUGUGGCUUUUUAAAAAUGGGUGCCAGCAGCCCCAGCCUGUGGGUGGACACGCUAACCUGCCGGUUCUUCCACUGGCUGUAUUCUGCAGUGUAUGCAGCUUGGGUGGGCUCUCAGCCAGGGUUGGGACAUGCCACAUCUCCCCAUCCAGUUGACCUUCCUAAGAGAAGGACCAGAACUGGAUGUAGUACGGCUGGGGAUCCAGAAGCCUUGACGACUUCUAGCUCAGCUUCAGGAUAAAGUGAAGGAUGUUCUAACUAGGAAAAGGUUUCAGUCCAAGGCUCACAGAAACUGGCAAAAACAAAGCCAUCACUCCUUUUAUAACUGAAGCAGAAGCGACCAGAAGACAACUGGAAUGUUUCCCGUCAUCACAUUUACUAAAAUUCCCUUUCCACCCAGGCCUCUUGGACUUUGCCACUUAUGUCCUGGAUCCCCUCUCACUAUGGAAAGCCUUUCCCAGUCUCAUUCUCUCCAGCGUCUCUACAGUUCCCUUCCAAGUCAUGCAUUUAAUCAGCUGUCUUCCUAUUGCUUAUCCAGCAUCUCUGUCUCUUUUAUCCACCCAUCAUCUACUGUCUAUACUGACCUGUCUUGUUAUCCACCCAUUUUAUUUCACCUUAAAUAUGUUCUCCCUAGGAUCUGGGCUCUUCUCCAUCUACCCCCUGCAGCUGCUCUGGUGGCUCCCGCUCUUACAGGCCUCUUGGUGGUCUCUCCUGGGUUCAGCUUUGCCAUGCCUCAUUGGUUUCAUAGAAGUCUGCUGCCUCCUUUCUUUUAUCCCAAUUUUUGAGGCAUGUAAACUCCUGUUCUUUAGAUAUACAUGCUCGCUUUGUAGGAGGUCUUAUCCCAUGGCUUUAACUUCUAUCUCUUUGUCAAUAACUCCCAGAUCUAUGUUCUCCAGUCCUGACAUUUCGCCCCAAGCUGUAGACUUAGCAAAUCUUUCUACUUAAUGUUUUCAUCAGAUAACUAAUAAGCAUUUCAAAUCAAACAUUUUCAAAAUAGAGUUUGAUUUUUCUCCCCUAAACUUAUCUGUCCCAGUUUCCUCCACAGCAAUGACUGGCUUUAUUUAUCCUGUAGCUCAGCUUGUGUGCUUACACCUAUAUGGCAUACAAGCCCAGGUAUGGGAGAUCCUGCCUGGCCCAAAGCCCUCUUGGUGGAGACCAGGACAGGAUGGAAUAGCUUCCUUGAAAUUCCAAGCAGGGGCUGGUGAGAUGGCUCAGUGGGUAAGAGCACCCGACUGCUCUUCCUAAGGUCCAGAGUUCAAAUCCCAGCAACCACAUGGUGGCUCACAACCAUCUGUAACAAGAUCUGACUCCCUCUUCUGGAGUGUCUGAAGACAGCUACAGUGUACUUACAUAUAAUAAAUAAAUAAAUCUUUUAAAAAAAAAAAAAAGAAAAGAAAUUCCAAGCAGAUGGUUGCCAAAAGUGGUGCCUGAGCCUCCGCUCAGGAUUCUGCUGCAUCUGAUUGCGUAGGAAAUGUUAAAUCCAAAGUGCUUCGGGAAGGGGGAAGGGGGAAGGUGAUUGGUUUGAAUUCCUGCAUCUAAUUAACCACACCAGCCUCCUGACAAAUGAUCUUACUCUCAAGGGGGUAGGGAAUUAAAUAUUUCCAAAAGGCAGUUUCCUAGAGAAGGAAACCCAUGGGCAAAAUCAUCAGGUCUGUCUGGCACAAAAUGCUCUCAUCUCAGUGGCUGGAAACAGUGACUGUGUCGCAUAGAUUACGGAAGACUGCAGGAAUUACACAAGGCUGGUUAGAAGGCUGCAUUUGCACCUGAGAACCAAGAAAACCUCCAUUCUACUGAGCCAGCCAAAGAGAAGAAAUGUGUGAAGAAUUGUCUACUAAACUCUAGGAGUUGAGCCAUAUGGAAAUGAGCCAUGAGGAUCCUGACCCCAGGACUGAACAAAGCAUAAACAAAGCACAAUGCAGCUAUUUUGGCUGGGCAACUUAGUCCAGGAACACCGCCAUUUUCUUGGACAUGUACUUUUUAGGGCUGGCCUGCAGGUGGUGGUGUAGCCCACAGAGGAUUGUACAAGCAAGAGUCCGAUAGGAUGCUAGACCUAGAUUCAUAUCUAUAUUAGGAUUUUGUCCAAGUGUGUCUUGCCUACUUGAUUCCGGAUAUGAUUCAUUAAGCAUGAGGGAAUGAGACCUUAGCCUGCCAAAUAACUCCUUGCCUAUUGAUCUCAAAACCUUUUCCUCAUCCAGACAAAAGAAAAGUCCCUUCCAGGUGUGCUUAAAAAUGUCCUUUCUUGCUGGGUUUUGAGUAUCCACAAAGAGAAGCCAUCUAUGGGAUCAAGUGGCCAGUUCUGUCACAAUGCUGGUGUAGCUGGUACCUAGACUCAGUUGAGUAGGUAUCUUCCUCAGCUGAGUCAGCCCAAUGCAGACAAAACCUGGACAUACUAGGCUUGGCAAGAAGCCUGACAUGCUGGUAGUGGGGUCACUACAUUCCUGGGUUCAGUCAGACACCCAGAGAAGUCUUUACGUUUCCCGAACACCACUGCUCAUCUAUGGGGAGCUGGGAAAGGAAGCCUGAAGUUUAUUCAAUUCAGUUAAACUUAGUUCAAUGGAGUGACUCACAUGACCUCUUUAAGUGAAUUCUGUUAGUUUAUAUUUUCUCUCCAUCCCUUCGUUCUCUUCCAAGCUAGCUUCUGUGUGUACGGGGCCUGGAAUACAUUGGGAAGGGACAUGGCUGUGAGGUAGCAUUACCUAGAACCUCACUGGUCAAUGAUCCAGGGGCAAGGUUUUCUACUUUCUGAAUUGGUGGUCACUGCAGUGUUAUUUUCCCUGUCUAGACAUAUGAGGAAAUUACCUCUGAAAUUCAUGGUCCUGGUCAUCUGAAUGUUCUGGCUGAUAAUAUCUGGAGCCCCCUGAUGUACCUCUGUGCUCUCAAAACCACUGGGUCUGUCAGAACGCGGGACUCGCUGGACUACCUGUGCAAUCCCCAGUCAUGUGAGCUCCGUGGUGACGAUGGCUCAUGCUUAUCUGUCAGCUUGCCUCCCACUGCCGCCUCCUCACCUCCACUCAUUGCCAAGAAUCCGGCCUCUGGCCUUCUUGUGUCUGCUUUGCCUUCCUUUUUCCUUCCUCUUGGAAUCGGGUGGGGCAGUUCAUCUGUCCACCCAUCUCCUCAUAGGCUCUAGCUUUCAUGGGCAGAAAGGGCCUUUUCUAUACUUAAGAAAAGACACCAAGAAUUGUACCCUCCAUAUUAGUCAUUAAUAACUUUGAACUUAAGAAAUCCUUCCAGACACUAUCUAAGUCUUACUGUGAAACCAAAGCAAAAUGUAAGCAAAGGAGAGGGUCAGAACCUGACUGUGCAGAGCUACUCUGUCCAUCAAGGUAAAGUCUAGCUCCAAGGUGAUAUGUACAUCUAAAACACACUGGGGGCUGGAGUUAAGACUGCUUGCUGCUCUUGCAGAGGACAGUUCCCAGCACCCACGUCAGAUGGCUCACAACUGCCUGUAACUUAGCUCCAGGAGAAUCAGACGCCCUCUUUUGACACCUAUGAGCAAUGACACUCACAUGCAUAUACCUCCCCCAGCCCAGACACAAACACAAUUAAAAUAAAACCUUCAAAAGCAAAAAUAAGAUAAACGAAUUCAAUUAAAAUAUAAAAAUCCACGUUCUGAAGUCACAUAAGCUACAGCUCAAACUUUAAGUAGUCCUAUAGUCAGGAAAAAGGUAGAUCAUUAACAUGACAGCCCCUUUAAAGGAUAGCUAUGCUCUCUGGAAGUUCUAAAAAAACCCUCUAUCUAGAUGUGUGAGAAACUUCCUGGAAGAAUAAAUUCUACAGGACAUGGUUCUCCAUCUGAAUAUAUAUCCUGAAACAAUUACUCACGAUGCUCUUUGCUCUGGACUCCCAAGAGGCCAGCUUAGUAAGCUUCACCUACUUUCUCAAGGGCCAAUGUUGCUCUCCGUCCCUCCUUACAGGAGGCUAGUUGUGUUCCUAGGCCUGGGUUAAACCACGAUUUUAUCUCUGAGGUGUUUGAGAUUUCAACAGAGCAGCAUCCAAGAAGAGGAGCCUCUGCCUGUGGGGCCUAGGGCGGCUGCAGUUUCAUACCUAUGGAGCUGGCCUUGCUCUCAGAUAAUCACACCCAAAGGAGAAAUCAAGGCAGCUCUGUAGGGCUUACAAAGGAAUUUACUCACGAACAGCAAUGCCAGAGCCCACAGCUGCACUAGCGCUGGCCAAGCUCAGAUGUUAAUUCAGACAGCCGCUCAGGGAAUGUCCGUGGCUAGAGCAAGCUGUCCAGCCAAAUAGAAGUGGCAGGAAGCAAGGCCCUAGGAUGUAUUGGAAAGCCAACUCCUGGAAGGUCUGAGCGUGCCCAGGCCUCCCAGCUGCAUAUGUUUUCACCCCAGCCAGGGGUGUGCCCAGCUGGGAAGGCUGAGUCGUCACAUCAUUGCAGAAAACUGGAACAGCAUGGCCAGGACCUUCAGCACUGGGAAUAGCAUCAGAUUUCCUCCCUGGACUCUGAGCAUGAGAGACUGUGAGGUCCAGGAGUAUGUGUGUGGGAAGGGUCUAGUCUGCCUCCACCUGGGGGAAGAGGUUUCUAGAAGAGAUCAGAACAUCAGAGCUUCAAAUUAAGUUAUCAGGAUAGAAAAUCUACCUGUCAACCAGCAGGAAACCUAGGUACCCAGACAAAAGUGAAAGGGCUGAGGUGGAAAGAUAGACUCAGGUGUCGCCGACAAUUUUUUUAAAGAUCAGUCAGUUAAUUCCCAUAGCUUGUUUGAGUGUAGCAGACUGGAAGCUCUGCAUUGAAAUGCUGGUAAGAAUGCAAUAAAAAUAACUUCAGAAUGAACAGUUGAAUGCAAAGGACAGGAAAAAAGGGUUUAGAAUAAAGGGGGUGGGGGACGGGUGCUGCAAAGUUGAUAUAUCAGUUAAGAGCACUUGCUGCUCUUCCAGAGGACUGGAGUUCAGUUCCCAGCACCCACAUGGUAGCUCACUCCAUUUCCAGGGGAUCUGUUGCCCUCUUCUGGUCUCCGUGUGGUCACUGUACUCACAUGCACACAAACACGGGACACAUCAUUUAAAAUAAAAUAGGUAUUUUAAAAAGAAGACGAACAUGAUUGAAAUACACUGCCUGGAGUUUUCAAAGAACUGAUAAUAACAUUGCUAAUAAAAAGAACAAUGAUAACACCAAAACAACACCGGCUUCUUUCUGGUUGGCCUUUGAGUCAUUCGAUGGUCAGGCUGAAUGCUCACUGCUCAGUGUCUUUGUCUCUGGCUGUCUCUGGGCAGAUGAAGGCUGACCCGGAGCCCAUGGGCACGGGGGCUGGUUGCCUUCUCUGGGGAAGUGCAGAAACUGCACAAGAAACUGAGCUCUCUGAGAUGUGGAUUCCAGGGACCCAGGAGGGAUCCUUGAAGGAGACCCUUGAAGUACUAUGCCUGUCAUGAAAACAAAAAAAAAAACUUGAAGGAAGGCCAGACUUUUCCCAGCUUGGGAAAGUAGCAUGGAAGAAGCCCAAGAUGUUAGUUUCUCUUAAGGUCUUUCCAUUUCAUCCUGACUUGUAAUUCCAGUAGAAAAGAAAAAACAAAAACAACAAACAACAAACAAACAAACAUCAACCCAACAGAAAAUAGCAAAGAAAGUAUCUUAGUUAGGGUUUCCACUGCUGUGAAGAAACAUGGUGAUCAAGGCAACUCUUAUAAAGGACAACACUCAACUGGGGCUGGCUUACAGUUUCAGAGGCUCAGGCCGUUAUCAUCAUGGUGGGAAGCAUGGCAGCAUCCAGGCAGGCCUGGCGCAGGAGGAGCUAAUCAAUUUUGGUUGAUUGAGACUUCAGAAUGAAAAACAAACAAACCAACCCUCAGUUUUCCAUUUUCUUUCAAGUUCAGUUAUGAGCAGCAGGUCUGAGUAAUGAACAGAGCCAGGGUCACCUCAGGCUUCACUUAGGGCUUCCUUUUCCUUAAAGAGACAGUGCCGCUGAGUCCUCCGGGAUCCCUGUGCAAGGCAGCUGCAGAAGCUCCUGAUCUGAGGGCUGCUAGAAGACUAGUUCUCCUAAGCAGCUAGGAAUAGGGUCUUGAAGCACACCCCCACAGUAAUACACUUCCUCCAACAAGGCCACACCUCCUACUAGUGCCUCCUACUGGGCCAAGCAUAUUCAAACCACUACAGAAAGAGAUGUUGAAGAAGAUUACACAGACAUUCAUGGUCUUGCUAUGUCACCCAGGCAGUCCUGAAACUUCUGGGCUCAAGGCGU
rnacentral:lncRNA from 1 species